rnacentral:rRNA from 1 species
UCGAGGUAGUGACGAAAAAUAACGAUCCAGGACUCAUCCGAGGCCCUGGAAUCGGAAUGAGUACACUUUAAAACCGUCCCCGAGGAUCUAUUGGAGGGCAAGUCUGGUGCCAGCAGCCGCGGUAAUUCCAGCUCCAAUAGCGUAUAUUAAAGUUGUUGUGGUUAAAAAGCUCGUAGUUGGAUCUCGGCGGACUGAGGGCGGUUUGCUUGCUAGUAUUACUGCCCUAUAGCCCGUAGUUUUGCCAGAGGUUUCUGGGUGCUCUUAAUCGAGUGUCCCGGGAUGCUGGCAGGUUUACUUUGAAAAAAUUAGAGUGCUCAAAGCAGGCUAUUACGCCUGAAUAUUCGUGCAUGGAAUAAUAGAAUAGGAAGUCGUUUCUAUUUUGUUGGUUUUCGGAAAUCGACUUAAUGAUUAAUAGGGACAGUCGGGGGCAUUUGUAUUCAAACGACAGAGGUGAAAUUCUUGGACCGUUUGAAGACAAACUACUGCGAAAGCAUUUGCCAAGAAUGUUUUCAUUAAUCAAGAACGAAAGUUARAGGUUCGAAGGCGAUUAGAUACCGCCCUAGUUYUAACCAUAAACGAUGCCAGCUAGCGAUCUGCGGACGUUUUUUUUGUAGACUCCGCAGGAAGCUUCCGGGAAACCAAAGCAUGUGGGUUCCAGGGGAAGUAUGGUUGCAAAGCUGAAACUUAAAGGAAUUGACGGAAGGGCACCACCAGGAGUGGAGCCUGUGGCUUAAUUUGACUCAACACGGGAAAUCUCACCAGGCCCGGACACUGGAAGGAUUGACAGAUUGAUAGCUCUUUCUUGAUUCGGUGGGUGGUGGUGCAUGGCCGUUCUUAGUUGGUGGAGUGAUUUGUCUGGUUAAUUCCGAUAACGAACGAGACUCUGUCCUGCUAAAUAGUGUCUGCUUCUCUUUUGAGCAGACAAUUCUUCUUAGAGGGACUGGCGACUCUUAGUCGCACGAGAUUGAGCAAUAACAGGUCUGUGAUGCCCUUAGAUGUUCUGGGCCGCACACGCGCUACACUGAAUAGAUCARCGUGUUCUCCCUUUCCGAGAGGAACGGGUAAACCGCUGAACCCUAUUCGUGGUAGGGAUCGGGGCUUGCAAUUAUUCCCCGUGAACCAGGAAUUCCCAGUAGGCGCAAGUCAUAAGCUUGCGUCGAUUACGUCCCUGCCCUUUGUACACACCGCCCGUCGCUACUACCGAUUGAACGUUUUAGUGAGGUCCUCGGACUG